UAGGGAAUCUUCCACAAUGGGCGCAAGCCUGAUGGAGCAACGCCGCGUGAGUGAAGAAGGUCUUCGGAUCGUAAAACUCUGUUGUUAGAGAAGAACACGAGUGAGAGUAACUGUUCAUUCGAUGACGGUAUCUAACCAGCAAGUCACGGCCAACUACGUGCCGG
rnacentral:rRNA from 1 species